GGACUACUGGGGUAUCUAAUCCUGUUUGCUCCCCACGCUUUCGCGCCUCAGCGUCAGUUACAGACCAGAAAGUCGCCUUCGCCACUGGUGUUCCUCCAAAUCUCUACGCAUUUCACCGCUACACUUGGAAUUCCACUUUCCUCUUCUGCACUCAAGUUUCCCAGUUUCCAAUGACCCUCCCCGGUUGAGCCGGGGGCUUUCACAUCAGACUUAAGAAACCGCCUGCGCGCGCUUUACGCCCAAUAAUUCCGGACAACGCUUGCCACCUACGUAUUACCGCGGCUGCUGGCAC
rnacentral:rRNA from 1 species